rnacentral:rRNA from 1 species
GAUGAACGCUGGCGGCGUGCUUAACACAUGCAAGUCGAACGAAGCAUUUAGAACAGAUUAUUUCGGUAUGAAGUUCUUUAUGACUGAGUGGCGGACGGGUGAGUAACGCGUGGGUAACCUGCCUUGUACUGGGGGAUAGCAGCUGGAAACGGCUGGUAAUACCGCAUAAGCGCACGGUGCUGCAUGGCACAGUGUGAAAAACUCCGGUGGUAUAAGAUGGACCCGCGUCUGAUUAGCUAGUUGGUGAGAUAACAGCCCACCAAGGCGACGAUCAGUAGCCGACCUGAGAGAGUGACCGGCCACAUUGGGACUGAGACACGGCCCAGACUCCCACGGGAGGCAGCAGUGGAGAAUAUUGCACAAUGGAGGAAACUCUGAUGCAGCGACGCCGCGUGAGUGAAGAAGUAAUUCGUUAUGUAAAGCUCUACCAGCAGGGAAGAUAGUGACGGUACCUGACUAAGAAGCUCCGGCUAAAUACGUGCCAGCCGCCGCGGUAA